rnacentral:lncRNA from 14 species
CAAAACCACUAUCCCCUCCUAUGGGUCCCCUUAUAGGGGUCCAGAUCUGAGGUAGUGGUUGCUAACCAGGCACAGAGCAGCCCUAAGCCUCUCUGAGCCAUGAGCGGAUGUUGAGCCACCUCCCUGGUGAUAUUCCAGAGCCGAAGUCCUUUGACAUCAGCAUUUGGAAAUUGGUCCUAGGAAAGUUCUUUUCAGAUGGAAAUUGCAGUAGGAGUCAGCGCUGUUGUUUGAAAGGUUGAACAAUUACAGGGAAAACCGAUUUACUUUGGAAGCUAAAAACCAGUCUGUACUGGUAGAUGCAAUUCACAUCCUUUGAAAUGCAGGAUUAAUGAGAACUGAUGAUGUGUGAGAGGCCUGAUCCUGCAUCAGAGGAGGAGACAUCACUCCAACCCCUUCUUCACCCAGUUCCUGGAUGUGGAGGGACCACUGGGAGCCAUCAGCAGCUUAUCCUGCAGGUUGUGCCCGGAUGCAUUUGGACUGGAUCCCAUUUGUGUUUGUUAAUGUGAGAGCAGAUCUGUACUCAUGCAGGAUUAUGUCUCCUGCCCACAGUGGAUUCUGCAUGGACAAACGGCUAUUCACUCAUCAGGAGAUGGGAGAUAGGAGCUGUGUGAGAGUGCCCUGACCUGCCCUAUGGAUGGGUGAUGCCAAGAGCUGCUGAGCUGCUGUUAGUCUAGGACUAAGUGCACUUAGACUGGCUGUUAUCAUCCCCUGUGAGUGUAAUCCAAACCAACGGCUUUAACAAGCACAGAAUGCAAUUGCAGGAGUUCACAGGGGUGAGGAAGGGCAGAAAACCACUGAAUAGUGUAGUCCUAAUAAGCUGUCUGUGAAAGCCA